UGGCGGCGACCGGCUUGUUGGGUCAAAACAAACACUCCAAACCGGCGAUCUAUUAUCCGGUCAAUCGCACCCCCGAAGUUAUUUUUGAAUAUUCGAUACGCACCUAGCUAUCCGCUAGCUCUCGAUAAAUGUUGAUUCGAAUUAACUGUAGGAUUUAGGACACGAUGUGACAGAGUAUCGCUUUGUAUCGCUUCACCGACAGUCUCGCGAUGAUUCGACCGGAUCGACGUGGAUUACGAGAUUGUCGGGGAAUAUUGAGCAAUCGCGCGAACUCGUUGCGCACGUCGUUUUUCAAAAUAGAUGUUGAAACGUCGUAGAUUGCCGCGGAUCUAUAACGCGUAGAAAGCAACCGACGAUGCGAUUGGGUAACAAUUUCCGAUUGGCGGAUGCUGCAUGCAUGUUUGAUCGAUCCCUCGCGAAUUUCGCUCGAUAUCCAAAUGAUGCUCCAUCAUUUCGAUUAUGAAUAAUUUGUGCUGUUUUCUUCAGAUAUAUGUAUUAUACCUACAUACAUAUAUACGAUCAAACAUCCGUAUACUUUUAUUGUUCUAAUAAAGUUUAAAGUUUUAAAUGAAGAUUGUUUGAUAAGCUAUAUUUUUGUGUUAAUUUAGCUUUUCCUAGAAUCAUACAAUACUUAUUUGCAUAAAUCACAAUUGUUUGAUAAGCUAUCUUUACGAGCUUUUACACAACUUUUAGCUUUUCCUUGUACAACACUUAUUUAUGUAAAUUAUGUUAUAUAAUUGUUGAACAUAAAAAUAUAUUUCGGAUUCGAUAUCGUACAAUACAUGUGAGCAAGAGUUAGAAACAAAAUAUACAAUAGUAUAUA